AACGCACAUUGCGCCCCUUGGUAUUCCAUGGGGCAUGCCUGUUCGAGCGUCAUUUGUACCUUCAAGCUUUGCUUGGUGUUGGGUGUUUGUCCUGAGGGACUCGCCUUAAAGUAAUUGGCAGCCAGUGUUUGGUUUUGAAGCGCAGCACAAGUCGCGAUUCAAGGCUAUACACCAGCUUCCACAAGCCUUUUUCACUUUUGACCUCGGAUCAGGUAGGGAUACCCGCUGAACUUAA
rnacentral:misc_RNA from 2 species